AAGUCGUAACAAGGUUUCCGUAGGUGAACCUGCGGAAGGAUCAUUCAUGUGAUUUCUUUAAACACCCAACCUUUUGUAAACUAUUAGUUAACAACUAAAAAGUUUCUGUGUCUUUCUUUUGUUGGCUGCGUUUUCUUUCAUCUUCACUCUAUUUUCUUUGAAAAUAGGAAAAGAAAUGACAAAUGCUACCUUUAUUUUACCUUUAUAAACUACCACAAAACAUUUACCAUAAAAAACACCAAAACUAUUACAACUUUUAACGAUGGAUCCCUCGGCUCUCA
rnacentral:misc_RNA from 1 species